rnacentral:rRNA from 1 species
UGAGGGAAAGGCGAAAAGAACCCCGGCGAGGGGAGUGAAAAAGAACCUGAAACCGUGUACGUACAAGCAGUGGGAGCCCCACCACCAAAGCAUUCUCUGGUGUUGAAGGCCCUGCAAAGCAGCAUCGCGGUGGCGGAGCGUCGUUUGCGACGCCCAACACACAAAACAAGCGGUGAGUGCUUUGGGGUGGGGUGACUGCGUACCUUUUGUAUAAUGGGUCAGCGACUUAUAUUCUGUAGCAAGGUUAACCGUAUAGGGGAGCCGAAGGGAAACCGAGUCUUAACUGGGCGUUAAGUUGCAGGGUAUAGACCCGAAACCCGGUGAUCUAGCCAUGGGCAGGUUGAAGGUUGGGUAACACUAACUGGAGGACCGAACCGACUAAUGUUGAAAAAUUAGCGGAUGACUUGUGGCUGGGGGUGAAAGGCCAAUCAAACCGGGAGAUAGCUGGUUCUCCCCGAAAGCUAUUUAGGUAGCGCCUCGUGAACUCAUCUUCGGGGGUAGAGCACUGUUUCGGCUAGGGGGCCAUCCCGGCUUACCAACCCGAUGCAAACUGCGAAUACCGGAGAAUGUUAUCACGGGAGACACACGGCGGGUGCUAACGUCCGUCGUGAAGAGGGAAACAACCCAGACCGCCAGCUAAGGUCCCAAAGUCAUGGUUAAGUGGGAAACGAUGUGGGAAGGCCCAGACAGCCAGGAUGUUGGCUUAGAAGCAGCCAUCAUUUAAAGAAAGCGUAAUAGCUCACUGGUCGAGUCGGCCUGCGCGGAAGAUGUAACGGGGCUAAUCCAUGCACCGAAGCUGCGGCAGCGA